rnacentral:rRNA from 1 species
UGGGGAAUAUUGCACAAUGGGGGAAACCCGUGAUGCAGCGACGCCGCGUGAGUGAAGAAGUAUUUCGGUACGUAAAGCUCUAUCAGCAGGGAAGAAAAUGACGGUACCUGAUUAAGAAGCCCCGGCUAACUACGUGCC